AGAGUUUGAUCCUGGCUCAGGAUAAACGCUGGCGGCGUGCCUAACACAUGCAAGUCGAACGCUCUGCGCAAGCAGGGAGUGGCGGACGGGUGAGUAACACGUGGAUAACCUACCUUGGGGUGAGGAAUACCGGCGAGAAAUCGCCGACAAUACCGCAUACGUUUGAAAAAACAAAGUUUCUUCGGAGACGCCACAGGAUG
rnacentral:rRNA from 1 species